AUGAACGCUAGCUACAGGCUUAACACAUGCAAGUCGCGGGGUAACAUCUGGUAGAGCUUGCUCUUCCAGGAUGACGACCGGCGCACGGGUGAGUAACGCGUAUCCAACCUGGCCCAUACCACGGGAUAGCCCGUCGAAAGGCGGAUUAAUACCGUAUGCUGUCAUUAAGAUGCAUAUAUUGAUGACGAAAGGACUGGCGGUGAUGGAUGGGGAUGCGUCUGAUUAGCUUGUUGGCGGGGUAACGGCCCACCAAGGCGACGAUCAGUAGGGGUUCUGAGAGGAAGGUCCCCCACAUUGGAACUGAGACACGGUCCAAACUCCUACGGGAGGCAGCAGUGAGGAAUAUUGGUCAAUGGAGGUAACUCUGAACCAGCCAAGUAGCGUGCAGGAUGACGGCCCUAUGGGUUGUAAACUGCUUUUAUAAGGGAAUAAAGUGAGUCUCGUGAGACUUUUUGCAUGUACCUUAUGAAUAAGGACCGGCUAAUUCCGUG
rnacentral:rRNA from 1 species